rnacentral:rRNA from 1 species
UACGGAGGAUCCGAGCGUUAUCCGGAUUUAUUGGGUUUAAAGGGUGCUCAGGCGGGCCAUUAAGUCGGCGGUGAAAUUUUGCGGCUCAACCGUAAAAGUGCCUUCGAUACUGGUGGUCUUGAGUGUGGAUGAGGUAGGCGGAAUUUGUGGUGUAGCGGUGAAAUGCAUAGAUAUCACGAGGAACUCCGAUUGCUAAGGCAGCUUACUAAGCCAUAACUGACGCUCAAGCACGAAGGCGUGGGGAUCAAACAGGAUUAGAUACCCCGGUAGU